rnacentral:rRNA from 2 species
UACGGGGGGGGCAAGCGUUGUUCGGAAUUACUGGGCGUAAAGGGUUCGUAGGUGGCCAACUAAGUCAGACGUGAAAUCCCUCAGCUUAACUGGGGAACUGCGUCUGAUACUGGUCUGGCUUGAGUGCAGGAGAGGAACGCGGAAUUCCAGGUGUAGCGGUGAAAUGCGUAGAUAUCUGGAGGAACACCGGUGGCGAAGGCGGCGUUCUGGACUGCAACUGACACUGAGGAACGAAAGCCAGGGGAGCAAACGGG